rnacentral:rRNA from 1 species
UACGUAGGGUGCUAGCGUUAUCCGGAUUUACUGGGCGUAAAGGGUGCGUAGGUGGUCUUUCAAGUCGGUGGUUAAAGGCUACGGCUCAACCGUAUUAAGCCGUCGAAACAGGAAGACUUGAGUGCAGGAGAGGAAAGUGGAAUUCUCAGUGUAGCGGUGAAAUGCGUAGAUAUUGGGAAGAACACCAGUAGCGAAGGCGGCUCUCUGGACUGUAACUGACGCUGAGGCUCGAAAGCGUGGGGAGCGAACAGG